rnacentral:rRNA from 1 species
UACGGAGGGUGCGAGCGUUGUCCGGAAUCAUUGGGCGUAAAGGACGCGUAGGUGGCGGGACAAGCGUGCGGUGAAAGCCUGGGGCUCAACCCCGGGUCGGCCGUGCGAACUGUUUUGCUUGAGCACUGUAGAGGCAGGCGGAAUUCCGGGUGUAGCGGUGGAAUGCGUAGAGAUCCGGAAGAACACCGGUGGCGAAGGCGGCCUGCUGGGCAGUAGCUGACACUGAGGCGCGACAGCGUGGGGAGCAAACAGG